UCCAUCAUCAAAUACCUAACACCCAGAGAUAUCUAUUAUUGUGGCAGUUGAGAUGCUUACACACAGCGUUGGUCCCUGAACUUCAUAUAAUAUUUCAGUUAAAUUGCCAGUUAAUUACCAAUUCAUUUUUCGGGCGUAGCUUUCCCAAAAUGCAUUGCGUGUAUAUAUGGUUAGCAGUAUUGUCGGACUAAGAAAUCAAAAGUGAAUCGGUCUCAGCUCGCAAAGAAACUAAUGAGCCAGCCAAAACCGAUAAUGGCUUAUCAGAGAUCGAAUAGAGGCGAGCAGGAGUGGAGGGUCGGGAGUAUCGAUAGAAACCAGAUGGAUAUGUUGAUCCAAAUCCGGGGCUCUCCUGGUCAGCUCCGCGAAUUGUUUCAAGGUUCACCAGGGGGUCAUUAUGGAACAACAAGAUCAAUUAGAGGAAACGAUCGUUCAAUCUGUGAACCUGACUAUUCCAGUAACUCAGCUAUGGGUUGUAGGGAAGAAAGAAGGACUGAAGGAGAAGAAGAAGAGGUUCUUGCCUUAUUGGUUCUAUUCACUGGAUUGUGUAGUGAUAUAUGAGUUUCCGGGGUGCAAUUGAGAGAACUAGAAAUCGAAUCAAGGGAUGCAAAGAUCAGAAAAGCACACCAAAAGCAGUGUUGUGGUGGCUGUUGCAUAAUCUUCUCUCCGUUGUUAAAGCUAGUGCUAUGCUUAUCCGGGGUGUUAAGUUGCUGCUUUUAGCUCUUCAAGAGAGUCAAAUAAGGGAGCUAUACAUACAUAAGAACUUAUAUAUAGCUCUUCAAAACAUGUUUAAGAGCCAGAAACUUGGAAAAAUAAAAAUAAAAACAAAAAAAGAUGCUACUUUCCAGAAAAUGUGCGAGUAGCUAGGACUGAAGUGCGGUGCUUUCUUGGUCCAAUUAAAUGUAAAACUCUUUUAUCUAUAUUCUA